UACAGAGGAGCCAAGCGUUGUCCGGAUUGACUGGGCGUAAAGGGUGCGCAGGCGGCGUCGCAAGUCAGGCGUGAAAUCCCCGGGCUUAACCUGGGAACUGCACUUGAAACUACGAUGCUGGAGUAUGGCAGAGGGAGGUGGAAUUCCACGUGUAGCGGUGAAAUGCGUAGAGAUGUGGAGGAACACCGAUGGCGAAGGCAGCCUCCUGGGCCAAUACUGACGCUCAUGCACGAAAGCGUGGGGAGCAAACAGG
rnacentral:rRNA from 1 species